UUAAAGUUUGAUUUUGGUUUUAAUAUUAAUUUUAUUAUUUUUUUGCAUGUAAGUUUUUAAAUAAUUAAAAAUGAUUAUUGCAGCAUUUAAUUUUAAUAAUUAAAGAAAUUUAGAAUUAUAAAUUAUAUUUAAAUAUAGACAAAAUAAUUGUGCCAGCAGUAGCGGUUAAACGUUUUAUGUAAGUUAAUAUAUUCAAUUGAUAAAUUAUAGUAAAUUUUUAUAUAAUUAAAGUAAAUUUUAUGGUGAAAUUAAAUUUUUUUAAUAUAUAUAUAUAUAUAUAUUUUUAUGAAAUCUAAAUUUUAAACUAGGAUUAGAUACCCUAUUAUUUUAGAUGUAAAAUUUUUAUUUUAAUAAUUAAUAGUUAUGUUCUUUAAAAUUAAAAAAAUUGGCGGUAUUUAAAACUAAUUAGGGGAAUUUGUUUAUUAAACGAUGAUCCGCGAUAAAUCUUACUUUAAUUUAUUAAAUUUAUUUAUUUUCGUUAUCAGAAUAUUUUUARAGAAAUUAAAUUUUCAUAAAAUUUWAUAAAAUUUUAUUUCAGAUCAAGAUGUAGUYUAUAUUAAAGUUUAAAUGAAUUACAAUAAAAUUAUUAUUUUUGAAUAUUAAAUUGAAAUAUUUAAUUGAAAUUGGACUUAAUAGUAAAAUUUUAAAUUAURAUUAUUUGAAUUAAGAAUUAAAUAUGUACAAAUUGCCCGUCACUCUCAUUUUAAAAUGGGAUAAGUCGUAACAAAGUAAAUAUACUGGAAAGUGUAUUUAGAAUU
rnacentral:ncRNA from 1 species